rnacentral:rRNA from 1 species
UACGAAGGGGGCUAGCGUUGUUCGGAAUUACUGGGCGUAAAGCGCACGUAGGCGGACAUUUAAGUCAGGGGUGAAAUCCCAGAGCUCAACUCUGGAACUGCCUUUGAUACUGGGGUGUCUUGAGUAUGGAAGAGGUGAGUGGAAUUCCGAGUGUAGGAGGUGAAAUUCGUAGAUAUUCGGAGGAACACCAGUGGCGAAGGCGGCUCACUGGUCCAUUACUGACGCUGAGGUGCGAAAGCGUGGGGAGCAAACAGG